rnacentral:rRNA from 1 species
GACAGGGGGCCCGAGCGUUAAUCGGAAUCACUGGGCUUAAAGGGUGCGUAGGCGGAUCAGCAAGUGUUUCGUGAAAACCCACGGCUCAACCGUGGAAUUGCGGGGCAAACUGCUGAUCUUGAGGGAAGUAUGGGCGGACAGAACUAUCGGUGGAGCGGUGAAAUGCGUAGAUAUCGAUAGGAAUGCCGAUGGCGAAGGCGGUCCGCUGGGCUUCUCCUGACGCUCAGGCACGAAAGCGUGGGGAGCAAACAGG